rnacentral:rRNA from 1 species
GACGUAGGGCGCAAGCGUUGUCCGGAUUUAUUGGGCGUAAAGAGCUCGUAGGCGGCUCGUUGCGUCGGCUGUGAAAACCCGCAGCUUAACUGUGGGCCUGCAGCCGAUACGGGCGGGCUGGAGUUCGGUAGGGGAGACUGGAAUUCCUGGUGUAGCGGUGAAAUGCGCAGAUAUCAGGAGGAACACCGGUGGCGAAGGCGGCGACCUGGGUAGAUACUGACGCUGAGGUGCGAAAGCGUGGGGAGCAAACAGG